ACGGAAGGCAGCAGUGGGGAAUAUUGCACAAUGGGGGCAAGCCUGAUGCAGCGAUGCCGCGUGAGGGAAGAAGGUUUUCGGAUUGUAAACCUCUGUCAACAGGGACGAAGAAGGCGGUACCUGUGAAGGAAGCUCCGGCUAACUACGUGCCAGCAGCCGCGGUAAUACGUAGGGAGCAAGCGUUAUCCGGAAUUACUGGGUGUAAAGGGAGUGUAGGCGGGACUGUAAGUCAGAUGUGAAAUAUACCGGCUCAACUGGUAGACUGCAUUUGAAACUGCGGUUCUUGAGUGAAGUAGAGGUAAGCGGAAUUCCUAGUGUAGCGGUGAAAUGCGUAGAUAUUAGGAGGAACAUCAGUGGCGAAGGCGGCUUACUGGGUUUUAACUGACGCUGAGGCUCGAAAGCGUGGGGAGCAAACAGGAUUAGAUACCCUGGUA
rnacentral:rRNA from 1 species